rnacentral:rRNA from 1 species
CUAAGCUUCAGAUCACAUUGGACCGUACCGUAAACCGACACUGGUGGGUGAGCAGAUAAUCUGCCAAGGCGCUUGAGAGAACUCGGGUUAAGGAACUCUGCAAAUUGAUACCGUAACUUCGGAAGAAGGUAUGCCUUCGACGGUGUAGGGAUUUACUCCCGAAGCUGUUGAAGGUCGCAGGUAAUCGGUGGCUGCGACUGUUUAUCAAAAACACAGGACUCUGCGAACACGCAAGUGGAAGUAUAGGGUCUGACGCCUGCCCGGUGCCGGAAGGUUAAUUGAUGGGGUUAGCCGCAAGGCGAAGCUCUUGAUCGAAGCCCCGGUAAACGGCGGCCGUAACAAUAACGGUCCUAAGGUAGCGAAAUUCCUUGUCGGGUAAGUUCCGACCUGCACGAAUGGCGUAACGCUGGCCACACUGUCUCGACCCGAGACUCAGUGAAGUUGAAAUCGCUGUGAAGAUGCGGCGUUCCCGCGGCAAGACGGAAAGACCCCGUGAACCUUCACUACAGCUUUACACUGAACUUUGAACCUUUCUGUGUAGGAUAGGUGGGAGGCUAUGAAACUUGGGCGCUAGCUCGAGUGGAGCCAACCUUGAAAUACCACCCUGGGAUGUUUGAAGUUCUAACCUUGGUCCGUAAUCCGGAUUGGGGACAGUGUAUGGUGGGUAGUUUGACUGGGGCGGUCUCCUCCCAAAGAGUAACGGAGGAGUGCAAUGGUACGCUCAGCGCGGUCGGUCAUCGCGCUCUAGAGUGCAAAGGCAUAAGCGUGCUUAACUGUGAGACAGACACGUCGAACAGGUACGAAAGUAGGUCUUAGUGAUCCGGUGGUUCUGUAUGGAAGGGCCAUCGCUCAACGGAUAAAAGGUACUCCGGGGAUAACAGGCUUAUUCCUCCCAAGAGUCCACAUCGACGGAGGAGUUUGGCACCUCGAUGUCGGCUCAUCACAUCCUGGGGCUGUAGCAGGUCCCAAGGGUAUGGCUGUUCGCCAUUUAAAGUGGUACGCGAGCUGGGUUCAGAACGUCGUGAGACAGUUCGGUCCCUAUCUGCCGUGGGCGUUGGAAACUUGAGGGUGAGCUGUCCUUAGUACGAGAGGACCGGGAUGGACGUAUCUCUGGUGUUCCGGUUGUCACGCCAGUGGCACUGCCGGGUAGCUAUAUACGGACGGGAUAAGCGCUGAAAGCAUCUAAGCGCGAAGCCCCCCCCAAGAUUAGGUUUCCCUGGGAACUCGAUUCCCCUAAAGGGCCGUCGGAGACUACGACGUUGAUAGGCUGGGUGUGUAAGUGCAGCAAUGCAUUGAGCUAACCAGUACUAAUUGCCCGUGAGGCUUGA